rnacentral:rRNA from 1 species
UACAGAGGGUGCGAGCGUUGUUCGGAAUUAUUGGGCGUAAAGCGCUUGUAGGCGGCACGUCAAGUCGCGUGUGAAAUCCCCAGGCUUAACCUGGGAAGUGCGCGCGAAACUGACGAGCUUGAGUGCCGGAGAGGGUCGCGGAAUUCCCGGUGUAGAGGUGAAAUUCGUAGAUAUCGGGAGGAACACCAGUGGCGAAGGCGGCGACCUGGGCCAAUAUUGACGCUGAGGUGCGAAAGCGUGGGGAGCAAACAGG